rnacentral:rRNA from 1 species
CCUACGGGAGGCUGCAGUGAGGAAUAUUGGUCAAUGGACGAGAGUCUGAACCAGCCAAGUAGCGUGAAGGAUGACUGCCCUAUGGGUUGUAAACUUCUUUUAUAAAGGAAUAAAACGAGGCACGUGUGCCUUUUUGCAUGUACUUUAUGAAUAAGGAUCGGCUAACUCCGUGCCAGCAGCCGCGGUAAUACGGAGGAUCCGAGCGUUAUCCGGAUUUAUUGGGUUUAAAGGGAGCGUAGAUGGGUUGUUAAGUCAGUUGUGAAAGUUUGCGGCUCAACCGUAAAAUUGCAAUUGAUACUGGCAGUCUAGAGUACAGUUGAGGUAGGCGGAAUUCGUGGUGUAGCGGUGAAAUGCUUAGAUAUCACGAAGAACCCCGAUUGCGAAGGCAGCUUACUAAGCUGUGACUGACAUUGAUGCUCGAAAGUGUGGGUAUCAAACAGGAUUAGAUACCCUUGUAGUC